AUGGUCAUAAAGAUAAUAGGGUGGAAAAUAAGUCUGAUCUGGGCCCAAGUGCAGACCCUAGGCGCAGUCCAUCCUCUUCUCAUCUCUCUUCCCUUUCUUGGAGGCAGCCUCGGUGCCCGCGGAGAGCAAAGCGCUCUGGGCACUGUAUACAGAAGUUCCGAGGGGACGCGGGUGUUCCCUGCACGGUCCCCUGCCCCCGUUCAGACCUCUGGCCCUGAAGUCUCAGAGAUGCAAGGAAGAGGGUGGCCCGAGCCUCCAGAGAUUCCCAGCCAGGGUCGCAGGAUAACGCGCGGGAAAACACGGGCCUGGAGCACCGCGCUCUCCCGGCGUCGGGCGGAAAGAGAAGAGCAGAAGGGGCCGGAGCGCGGCGGUCGUGGCUAUUGGCGAGACCCGGGAGGCAAAGCGCGUGGAGAGGGGACGCGUGGGAACCGCAGAGGAUAGCGGAGAGCAGCCGGCUCCGGAACGUCUGACUGCGAGCCCCGGCGGUCGUGCGCGCGAGUAACAAGUGUGCAAUUUUGUGUGCAACCGGCGUGUGCACGUGGGCACUUACAAGCUCCUGAGGAAGCUGGGUGCACACGGAGCUUCAGUGUUCACACAAAGAGCGCCUAGACGAGGAACAUUUAAAUGAGGGGAGCAGGAAACGGUUCCUAGGAGCCUGGGGAGGAGGAUGGGGGAUUAAAGGCGCGAUCUCGGCGGGGUUCGGGGCGCGGCUGCUCGGCCGGAGGGACCUGCGGGGGAGAGCAGCGCGGGGAGGGAGAUUGCCUGGGCCGGCUUCUCGCCUAUUCUCCGCAGAACUUUUUCCCCCUCCCUCUUCCCUCGCGCUGCCUCUCUCGGGGCGGUCUCCAGGGACUGUCUCUCACAUCCAU
rnacentral:lncRNA from 12 species